AAAAGUAUUUUCUCAUAUAAAAUAUUGAUCAGUAAUUUAUAUCCUUAGUUGUUAUUGAAUAAAUGGAAUAUUGGUAAUAUGAAUUGUAUAUAAAACCUAAAUUUUUUAUCUAGGAUCCAAAGGUGCAGCAGACAAAAGGGCGAUUACUAAUGAAAUCAUUGAAUUUAUCAGAUUAUGAAGCAGAAAUGCUACAGAAAUUCAGCUAAACCACAAUGUGAUGAUAUUCUUCAACAAAUUUAACGAGAUAUUUUUAGUCUUCCCAAGCAAGCAGAAUUAUGUUCGUUGAAAAGUUCUCGCUCUACAGUCAAUUCUCGUUGUCGUAGUCGACAAACUAAAUCCAAACAAAAUUUUGAACAUACGUGAAGACAAUCUUGGUAUCAUCAACUUUUUUAAUAUAACGCAUCUAUUUUUGAUUAUCACUGACAUGCACAGAAACCGUCAACACCCAAGGUAAUCCAGCCACCUAGAAGACUAUCUCCCGGACAAUUCUAAGGUAGAAUUUGAGAAUUUAAGGAAACUACGCAUCUGAGGACCAUCUAAUAGUAGUAUGUAGUACUUUACAUGUAAUUACGAAAGCAAACGGUUCCUAGCGCUCGUGUGGCGAUUAUCGUGCUGCUAAUUUUAAAACUAUCGGGCCGCUGUUCUAUAUCGUCCUUACAAGAUCCUGCAUGGAAAGGUUAUUUUACAACCUAUGCGUUUCUACAACUUCGUUAAGAGAAGAUAAAGAACAUUUAAAAUAAAUAUUUCAAAUUGCACAAACUUAAAUUUGGUCAAUCUCAAUUGUCUUUUCUGGGACGUGAAACUUCAUUCCAAGGUAUUAAACCAUUAUUAAAGCAGAUAAACGCACUUAAAAUCUAUCCGCGAUGAACAUAUAUAAAUGAGCUCAAACGUUUCUUAUCCCUGAUCAAUGUUUGCAGACGAGACAUUGAGCACGCUAUCCCGAUGUCUCACGGCUGAACUAGACUGCUGGUACUACAGAAGUUCGUGAGAACAUACAAACUAUCACUCUGAGUAGACGAAUUUAAUGUUGUCGCAGGCGUUACUCUACACGAGAUAGUUUCAGCUCACACACCCUUUGGCUUUCCUUUUAAAACGUUCAAAAAUACGCAAACGCGUUAUAUUACGAUAUGGCAGGGAGCUAACAGCAGUCUAUUUAGCAGUUUAGCUUUUUAUAAAUUCAUUCUAGGAGGUAAACAUUGUCAUAUAAACAGAUCACAAAACAUUAAUUUAUGCUUGUAGCAAAAAAUUCAAAAAAGCUACAGAUCUGCAAGCCAGAUUACUUGAUUGGAUGCCGCACGUUUCCACAGAGAUUCGUUUUGUUAAUGAGAAAGAAAAGAUAUUACAACCGUCAAAAUGCAUUGGUCAUGUAGAAGUGUUUAAUGCAGAUGCGUUGGCUGAUGACAAACAAUUUAAGGACCAACUUCAAAUACUAUUAAACCGCAAGAACGCUAACCGAUUUCAACUCAAAUUUUUCCUCUCUACGAAAGCACUACUUACAUUUAUUGUGACCUAUCAACUAAUACCCUAAGAUCCCUUAUUACCCAAAAACAAGAGAGCAGUCUUUGCAGAGACUCGUAAUGUUUCAUACUAUGGCCCUUCCACAGUGAACUCGAUGGCUAAACGAUUCAUUUGACUGGGAAUAGUUGAAGACAUUAUGAUUCUCGCGGGAUCUUAUAUCCAUUGUCAGAGACCAGAAAUCAGUUAACACGCAUCGUCACAGCUACAAGGCUAUUCUACAUUAGGAACAAUUUUUAGAUAUUAACAAUUUUGGGCUGUUGGACCGUUUUCAACUAAUAAUAUUAAGCAAUAUGACUUGAUUUUAAUCGACCAUUUUACUACAUGGCGAGAGACUGUACCUGCAUUGAAUAUCGCUGCACAAACAGGUGCUAAAGCACUUAUCUUGCAACAGGUCCGUCGUUUUGCAGUACUACAAACAAUAACAUCUGACCAAGGCUGACAGUACCAAUUAAAGAUUUUCACAGAAUUAAAAUCGACAGGCAUCAAACAUGCUUCUACACCACUAAAUACUGCAAUCAGAUAGGUUACUUGAACAAUGGUAUACAACAUACAAAUCGGACAGUGGGGAAUCGUACAGCUUUUGAGGAAGAUCUGGAGGCAUCGCCAGAGAUAACAAAAAUACCAAAUGUAAGCAUGCCCUGGUUAUAUAAUUACAUCAAUACAUGAAUAAUAUACGACUUCAACAAUUAUCUUGAUUUUUUAACAAGAGGAUUUUUAUUCAUACUGCGCUGAUCACACGUAAAAACGUAUUCAAUAAAAUCCAUCAGCAUAGAAGUUUUUAAGAGAGAGGUGCCGUCGACGUCAUUUUGCGAUCUUUUUCGUUACCUUUACUCCACUCUUACGCUAUUGCUUCGCAAGUUUUUUUAUAGUUUACUGCGUACACGGUAUACCACUUAAAUUGCGCUUAAUAUUAACUGCACUUAAGUUAUACUUCACACAAAUGCGACGAUUGUGCUGAGACCGCUUUCUCAGUCCGAUUCUCCGCUCUUUGGUUUACUAAUACUACCUAAAACCGGUCAAAAGUGAUUAUUAGGGGGAUAGGCACGCAAGACGCCAUUGUUGAUGCAGCCUAGCCACACUGGCGGUGAUAUCUAGGAAGCAGUCCGCGCAGGGCUUCACUGUCGGCGCAAAAGCUAGUUUCCCUUAGGUGCUGAGGUUAAGAGUGCUAACUAGAAGAUAGUGCGCGCAAAGCCAUACAGUUGGAGCAUAGACAACCGUUCGAACGGAUUCCCCUUCCACAUUUGUCGGAGGAGAAGGCACGAAAAACAAAUGCCUUCGAAUAACUUCACAUGACAAACCUAGCUACGCUUAGAAGAUUAUAAUCUGAUGACUAGGGAGUAGCGCCAGCAAAGCUACACUGUGCAAGCACCAACAGGCGUUUGACGGGUUACCCUCCAAGUGUUUUAUGUGGUAACGCGCGAGACAUGCUUUAGAAUAAUUCAGCGUGACAUUUAGCUAGAGGGAAGAUGAUCGGUAACUUUACCUUAAGUAAGUCUCUGAAGCAUUAUGCGUUUUAUCGGCGGCCUUUAUAUAACCAUAACCAGGGCGCUGGUUAUGUACGGCGUUAACCUGAUUUCAUUUCCGAGUUUUGACUGUGUUUCGCUCUUUAAAAAUUUUGAAAACACGAGUAAGCAAAAUUGCUCACCCUUUUCGUUAGGACUGGUUGUUCAGAAGUAAUAUUGUUGUUUAGAGCUGGUUUUUUAAAAGGAAACAGCUGAAAAUUGAAAAUAAGAUAAGUUCCAAACAAAAUGGUUGACCUACAAGCAGCUGAAGCAAAACCAAAAUUUUAAUUUUGUGAAAGGAUUCUGCUAUUCAUUGCAUUAAUGGAAACAAACAAGCGCCGAAUUUGCGCCUUAUUUUGCCAUUAUUUUUUCGGAAUAAAUUUCGAAUGGCAAAAGCAAUAUAUAACUGUCAACCAAACAUUUCCCAAGAUACGCCUUCCAAUAAAAUGGUAUACAAAUAAUAAUAUUUUAUUUAUUUAAUUAAUUCAAGUCAGCUACAGAACAUGUCAUUAGCUGAAUAUAAGCUACAAAAGAACUUAAAAUGUAGUAUAGAGAAGAAAAAAAUAUAAAUAAAAAUAAGCAUAAGAUUAACAUAUAACAUAUACCGGCAUUUAACUAAGCCUUAAAUUAGUAUGCAGGGAUAUACAUUGAUGAACAAGUAUAUGAUUAUUUAUACAUUAUUAAUGAAAUGAGAAACAAAAUCAAAUAACAAAGAAUAUUUUGACACAAUUUGCGUGUAUUGUGUAAGACGCGAAAAUAAUUAGCAACUCGUUACGCACUACAAUGUUUUUCAUCUUGUUAACGGACAAAACGGACAGAUAAAAUAAGUGAUCGAUGAACAUUUUACACAUUAGUCGAAACGGAUUGAACAACUCAUAAUUGGUUCAGCAUUGUGGUAGCUGCAAGCCCACAAAGCGUCUUGAAACGCUACUGGGGAUGUGAACAUUAAUAAGUUCUAAUAAAAUCGGUGAAAAAACUUCUCCUUUUAUUAAAGGCUUAAAGGCGAAGGUUAGAUUCAGCAUUUCAUGCCGUUUUUCAAGGGUGGACAAGUCAAUGAGCUUCAACAUACGGUGGAAGAGGUAGCGUAGGGUCCCAUCCCAUACCUCGCAAAGCAAACAUCAAGACACACUCCAAGAGAUCAACAGGGUAUCUAUAGAUAGGAAGCCAAUCUACCGACGAGUAUUCAAAAAUUUGUCUAACUAAAAACGUAUGCUGACAAAUUAGUGACAGUUAAUAUCCCUUUUAAAAACCGGGCUGACAGCGCGAUAAAGUUGACUAAAACCAAAGUAAGCC